AAUCCUUAUACUGCCAUUGGGAUUAAAUUGACUUGAAAAGAAUCACCCCUACAGAGGAUAACUCAUCAUCAUCAAAACCACCCUCAUUGGGUCCUCUUUCUGAAAAGUCCUCAAACGAAUUACCCCAGCAUCUCAAACAGAAGAAGAAGAUUCAUUCACCGUCUUAGAACUCGAAGAAGUAUCAUCGAGGACCUUUCUGAAUCUGCGAAAGAGCAUUCCCUGUCAUGUUGCAUUUGCACCGCAGAUACAGCUCGGAAUGUCUGGCGAUAAUGAUCUACGGACAAGCACGCGGGUGCGACCGAGAAAAGAAGAAAGAACGAAACAAGGGUAUACACCGAGGAGCGGGAUAAGAGGAGAGAAAGAGAUAGAACGAGAGGAACCACGCCACAAUGAGGGCCCGAAUGUUGCAAAACCGCCUAUAUCCGUGACUAUACCCACACCAACGGCUUGUACAAGAAAUGAUAAUUACCGUCUGUCUCCUCUUUCCUCUCUCUCUCUCUCUCGACAUUUCUUCCUCGUCCUCUUCGCCGCUAUCGUUUCCUUCCUACCCCGCCAAUUGCUCGUUUAUUUCGGACCGUUUAUUCGUCACGGAUUCGACUUCGAUCUUUUAGCAAGAUUGCGAUCCUCGCUUUUCUUUCCUUCGGUAAAAAGUGAAACUGAUGCUCCUUCAUCGACAGAUGCAUCUAACAGAUAUUUGAAGAGGACGAGAUAGAAAAUUCGUAGAGAAAAAUGUAUAACGAUGUAGGAUAGAGGAUUUGUAAGCUACAAAAGUACUCGUUAUCCCGGACAACAGAGGAUACAGAAUUUUUUACGGGCACGGUUCCCAUGAAAAAUCACUCCAGCUCCUACAAUACUGCCCUCUGUGCGGCCAGUCAUCCCGAUUCAACGGUCAGAAGCCAUAUGUUCCUGGUCGAAUGUGCUAAGAAGUCAUUGAAGGAACCGCCGU